rnacentral:rRNA from 1 species
CAGCCGCCGCGGGAAUACAGAGGUCCCGAGCGUUGUUCGGAUUCAUUGGGCGUAAAGGGUGCGUAGGCGGCUUUCUAAGUUUGAUGUGAAAUCCUGGGGCUCAACCCUGGAACUGCAUUGAAUACUGGGAGGCUAGAGAACUGGAGAGGAGACUGGAAUUUACGGUGUAGCAGUGAAAUGCGUAGAGAUCGUAAGGAAGACCAGUGGCGAAGGCGAGUCUCCGGACAGUUACUGACGCUGAGGCACGAAGGCCAGGGGAGCAAACGGGAUUAGAUACCCCCGUAGUCCCUGUCUCUUAUAC